AGCUAGCAUGGCACAGUGGUUUGAGUGUUGGACUAGGACUUUGGAGACCAGGGUUCAAUUCCUUGCUUGGCCA